UACGGAGGGAGCUAGCGUUGUUCGGAAUUACUGGGCGUAAAGCGCACGUAGGCGGCUUUUUAAGUCAGGGGUGAAAGCCCGGGGCUCAACUCCGGAACUGCCUUUAAGACUGCAUCGCUUGAAUCCAGGAGAGGUGAGUGGAAUUCCGAGUGUAGAGGUGAAAUUCGUAGAUAUUCGGAAGAACACCAGUGGCGAAGGCGGCUCACUGGACUGGUAUUGACGCUGAGGUGCGAAAGCGUGGGGAGCAAACAGG
rnacentral:rRNA from 1 species